rnacentral:rRNA from 1 species
UACGUAGGGGGCUAGCGUUGUCCGGAAUCACUGGGCGUAAAGGGCGCGUAGGCGGCCCGUCAAGCGUGUGGUGGAAAGCCCGGGGCUCAACCCCGGGUCUGCCAUGCGAACUGCUAUGGCUUGAGCACUGUAGAGGCAGGUAGAAUUCCGGGUGUAGCGGUGGAAUGCGUAGAGAUCCGGAAGAACACCGGUGGCGAAGGCGGUCUGCUGGGGCAAGUUGCUG